ACAAUGUUCCGCUGCCGCUUAUUUGCGGGUAUGAGCAUUUG
rfam:Domibacillus antri strain XD80 WGS_contig_14, whole genome shotgun sequence.